CGGGGCUGGGUUGGGUGCUAGGGGAGUGAGGGGGAGGGCUGCACCCCCCCCCCCCCCCCCCCCCAGCCCACACAGGCCACCAGGGGUCAGCAGCCCAGGCCACUCCUUCCCUUCCCCUUGCCUGAUCCCUGGCAGACCCUAGCAGACUGAAUGUCUGGCUGGAUAGAACGGAGCAGGUGUGCUCCAGGGGACCCCCGAUGCAUGAGUGAAGGGUAAGAAAGUGAAGGGAGGGUCUCCUAGGGGAUCCCCACAUGCAGCCACUGCUUCUGAGUCAGCGAAAGUGACCUCCACUUCCUGCUUGGUUGCCCAGGUUGAGAUUGGUGCUUUAAUUAGCACCUCAGGGUGUGUGCUCCAACCUGGAAGAACAGGAAUCCUGGGUGCUUGGCAGCUCUGUGGGGCAGAGAACCCCACCUUGGGCUGAGACCCUGGGUGCACCAUCUAGCUCUGCCGGUCCUUAGCGGUGUGACCUUGAGCAGGUGUGUCACCUCUGAGCUUUAACGUGUCCCAGCGCCCAUUCACCAAGGACCCGCUGCUUCAGCCGGGCAGACUGGGCGAGGCGUCUUCAGAGGCAUUUAUCUCUUGGAAGCCUUCCAGCCGUCCAAGGGGUGGUGACGGCACCUUUCUUAACAGAUGGGGCCAGCUGGCCUUCCCAGAUGCAGGUCUGACCCCUCCUGCUUGCAAAGGGGCCUGAGCAUAGGUCCCGCCAGGUGGCCCCGGCAGCCCUGGGUGGGGGCUCAGCACUGGCUUCUGGUGCUCACUGUUGCUUUGUACUGUCCCCGGCAUCUGCCCUCCGUCAGUGGCAGGAGCAUCCACAGUCAGGGGCCAGGGGAGGUGAUUCCUGAAGGUCCGCCCUUGAGGUCCCCAGCUCUGUCCCCUGGCCAAGCAGUCUUGGAGUGCUAAGGGCUUCUGCCUUCCCACUGCCUCAGCGCCAGAGCUACAGGAUCCAGUGCAUUCUGGGGCCCCCCUUGUGGGAGGCCGUCUGGCAGCUGAUCCAUUCACCUCGCUCAGCUGUCACCUUUGUAUCCAGGCCCUGGAGGGGGGACGGCUCAGGGUCCUAUUGGGAGGCCCUCCUUCCAGAUCUCUGCUUUGACUCCAAUGGAGACUGCUCCCAGCUCUAUGCGUGGGGAGUCUUCCAUGACCCACCUUAGACAUUCCAAUUAGGGUCAGGCCCUUCCCGGCUUCCCCUGGCCCCGGGAGAACAGCCCAGCUUCGUUACGACACACCGUUGCUUGCUGACUUCUCUGUCUCCUUCCACAGAUGGGGGCCCCAGGGGCAGGAACCAGGCCUCAUCUAGUAGUCUCCUCCCAUACCACCCAGAUGGGCACAUCGCAAACCUCGGACAGCGUUCACCGACUGACUGUGAUGGCAACAGCUGAGACGAAAUCAAGCCUGAGGCCCUUCACGACUGCAGCCAUGACGCUGGCCCUGCCCGCUGGCCUUUGCCCUCCCAUGCGGGAGCCUGAUGAAGCCAGACGCCUGCGCCAGGAGG